AAGCCAAAGAGCUCGGCUAGAGCAAUAGAAUUUUAAUCUAUAGGCAGUCUAAGAACUUUUGGCC
rnacentral:tRNA from 1 species